rnacentral:tRNA from 1 species
GGGGGUUUAGCUCAGUGGCAUAAGCACCUGCCUUGCAAGCAGGCGGUCGAGUUCGAUCCCCG